rnacentral:rRNA from 1 species
AACGAGGAUAUAUCCUUCGGGAUAUAAGCCGAGUGGCGAAAGGGUGAGUAAUGCACAGACAACCUGCCUUUAGGAUAAGAAUAACUCUGUGAAAGCGGGGCUAAUACUUAAUAAUACAAAGGAAAGGUUCUUUUCUUUGUUAAAGAAGGGUAUGUAAAUACCUUGCGCCUAAAGAGGGGUUUAUGUCCUAUCAGCUUGUUGGUAGGGUAACGGCCUACCAAGGCGAAGACGGGUAGCCGGCCUUAGAGGGUGGUCGGCCACACUGGAACUGAGACACUGUCCAGACUUCUACGGAAGGCUGCAGUCGAGAAUCUUUCGCAAUGCCCGAAAGGGUGACGAAGCGACGCCGCGUGGAUGAAGAAGGCCUUCGGGCUGUAAAAUCCUGUCAGGAGUUAAGAAAUGUAAGUUUGAGAAUACCAAAUUUACCUGACAAAAGCUCCAAAGGAAGCCACGGCUAACUCUGUGCCAGCAGCCGCGGUAAUACAGAGGUGGCGAGCGUUGUUCGGAAUUAUUGGGCGUAAAGAGCACGUAGGUGGAUUUGUAAGUCAGAUGUGAAAGCCUUCUGUUCAACGGAAGAAUUGCAUCUGAAACUGCAAACCUUGAGUAUAGGAGGGGAGAGUGGAACUUCUGGUGGAGCGGUGAAAUGCGUAGAUAUCAGAAGGAACGCCGGCGGCGAAAGCGACUCUCUGGCCUAUUACUGACACUGAGUGUGCGAAAGCUAGGGGAGCAAACGGGAUUAGAUACCCCGGUAGUCCUAGCCGUAAACGAUGGGCACUAAGUAGGGGAAACUACCGAUGUUUUCUCUGCCGUAGCAAACGCAUUAAGUGCCCCGCCUGGGGAGUACGGCCGCAAGGCUAAAACUCAAAAGAAUUGACGGGGGCUCGCACAAGCGGUGGAGCAUGUGGCUUAAUUCGAUGCAACGCGAAAAACCUUACCGGGG